UCUGGUCCAUAGGAUGAUGGAAUUAUUGAUAUCAUCAAAGAAUGAUGGAAUCCUCUGUCCAGUUCCCUAAUACCCCUUGUACUAUGCUUCAAUAGCCCUCCAUGGUGGCACUCUUGUGCCUUAUUAUCUUGAUGAAGCAACAGGUUGGGGAUUGGAGAUUUCUGAACUUAAAAGGCAGAUAGAAGAUGGAUAGUCUAAGGGAGUCACUAUCAAGGCAUUGGUUGUUAUUAAUCCAGGGAACCCAACUGGGCAGGUACUUGCUGAGGAAAACCAACGAGAUAUAGUGGAGUUCUGCAAGGCAGAAGGUUUGGUACUUCUGCCUGAUGAGGUGU